rnacentral:rRNA from 1 species
GAUUUCUGGCUUGACGCGCCUGGCCCGCCUCGGUUACGAGUGUGAGUGCUGGUGCGCGUCUGCCAUCCUUCCAGAAAACGGCGUCGCCCUUCACUGGUGCGGCGUCGCGAUCUGGAUCUAUUACUUUGAAAAAAUUAGAGUGUUUCAAGCAGGCUUUAUGCUAUGAAUACAUUAGCAUGGAAUAAUAAUUUAGGACUUCGGUUCUAUUUUGUUGGUUUCUAGGACUGAAGUAAUGAUUGAUAGGGAUAGUUGGGGGUGCUAGUAUUCAGCGGCCAGAGGUGAAAUUCUCGGAUUCGCUGAAGACUAACUUAUGCGAAAGCAUU